GACGAACGCUGGCGGCGUGCUUAACACAUGCAAGUCGAACGGAAAGGCCCUGCUCUUGUGGGGUGCUCGAGUGGCGAACGGGUGAGUAACACGUGAGUAACCUGCCCUUGACUUUGGGAUAACUUCAGGAAACUGGGGCUAAUACCGGAUAGGAGCUCCUGCUGCAUGGUGGGGGUUGGAAAGUUUCGGCGGUUGGGGAUGGACUCGCGGCUUAUCAGCUUGUUGGUGGGGUAGUGGCUUACCAAGGCUUUGACGGGUAGCCGGCCUGAGAGGGUGGCCGGCCACAUUGGGACUGAGAUACGGCCCAGACUCCUACGGGAGGCAGCAGUGGGGAAUAUUGCACAAUGGGCGGAAGCCUGAUGCAGCAGCGCCGCGUGCGGGAUGACGGCCUUCGGGUUGUAAACCGCUUUCGCCUGUGACGAAGCGUGAGUGACGGUAAUGGGUAAAGAAGCACCGGCUAACUACGUG
rnacentral:rRNA from 1 species